rnacentral:rRNA from 1 species
AUUGAACGCUGGCGGCAGGCCUAACACAUGCAAGUCGAGCGGAGCGGCGGACGGGGGAGUAAUGCCUAGGAAUAUGCCUGGUAGUGGGGGAUACCGUCCGGCAACGGGCGCUAAUACCGCAUACUAUCAGAUGAGCCUAGGUCGGUUUAGCUAGUUGGUGGGGUAAAUGCCUACAAGGGCGACGAUCCGUAACUGGUCUGGGAGGAGGAUCAGUCACACUGGAACUUAGACACGGUCCAUACUCCUACGGGAGGCAGCAGUGGGGAAUAUUGGACAAGGGGCGAAAGCCUGAUCCAGCCAUGCCGCGUGUGUGAAGAAGGUCUUCGGAUUGUAAAGCACUUUAAGUUGGGAGGCGUUACCAACAGAAUAAGCACCGGCUAACUUCGUGCCAGCAGCCGCUGUAAUUC